UACGAAGGGGGGCUAGCGUUGCUCGGAAUCACUGGGCGUAAAGGGUGCGUAGGCGGGUCUUUAAGUCAGGGGGUGAAAUCCUGGAGCUCAACUCCAGAACUGCCUUUGAUACUGAGGAUCUUGAGUUUGGGAGAGGUGAGUGGAACUGCGAGUGUAGAGGUGAAAUUCGUAGAUAUUCGCAAGAACACCAGUGGCGAAGGCGGCUCACUGGCCCGAUACUGACGCUGAGGCACGAAAGCGUGGGGGAGCAAACAGG
rnacentral:rRNA from 1 species